AACGUAGGAGACAAACGUUAUCCGGAGUUACUGGGCGUAAAGGGCGUGUAGGCGGUCUGUUAAGUCUGGCGUGAAAGCUCUCGGCUAAACCGGGAGAGGUCGUUGGAUACUGGCAGACUAGAGGACGGUAGAGGCGUGUGGAAUUCCGGGUGUAGUGGUGAAAUGCGCAGAUAUCAGGAAGAACACCGGUGGCGAAGGCGGCUCUCUGGGCCUUACCUGACGCUGAGGAGCGAAAGCGUGGGUAGCGAACAGG
rnacentral:rRNA from 1 species